AUGCAGCCGGUGCUCGCCCUUGGCUGUUUGAUAUAUGAUGCUGGCCAGCUAGUGGCCACUGGUGCUUGCUGUGCCGCUGCUGCUAGGCUGCUCCUUGUGUCCAUAAUUACUGCUCCAUGGUUGGUGUCGUGCGAAUCUCCCACUGCUAGUAGACUAGGCUUAUGGGCUACCGAUGUCGUAUGUGAAAGAAAAAAGAUAGAGAUCAUGGGCGGGCUACCUCCACUUUGGCCUUGCUGUAGCUCCGCCAGUGCUCGUGUCAUUCAUGAUCGUUCAACUACAAAUGCUCUCAUACUCUUAUAA
rnacentral:rRNA from 1 species